rnacentral:misc_RNA from 1 species
GCUCUUGGCUCUUUCAUUCAGUAUUCAACCACCACCUUUGGUGGGAUGUAGUUAGGUAAAUUUGUUCGAAACUAAGGAAAUUACGAUGCUCUCCAGUAAAGCCAAACACUAUUUACAUUGCCUUCUAUUUCUAAACGUGAUAAUCUUUUUCGAAAUUUUUACUGGGGGCAUAAAGAGCUUCGGAGAAGGGGUGUUUGUACCGCCAACAGAGUUGAAUCCAUGGAUACAGUACGGUGUUUUCGGGGCUACGCUUCUCUAUAUUUUAAGAUUUCUCACUUUUCUACCUCUGCCCCAAGUGAUCUUCAACUGUUUGGGUUUGACGCUGUACAACGCUUUUCCGGAAAAAGUGGUGCUGAAGGGAUCCCCGCUUCUUGCGCCUUUUAUUUGCAUCAGGAUCGUAACCAGAGGUGAUUUUCCGCAAUUGGUCAAAAACAAUGUUGUUCGGAACAUGAACAAAUGUUUGGACGCGGGUUUGGAAAAUUUUCUGAUAGAAGUGGUAACCGAUAAAUCGAUAGGUCUGGAGACUCACAGAAGGACUCGAGAAGUUGUGGUGCCGGCAGAUUAUCGUACCAAAAGUGGCGCUCUAUACAAAGCCAGAGCCUUGCAGUACUGUUUAGAAGAUGGAGUGAAUAUUCUUAGCGAUAACGAUUGGAUAGUACAUCUCGACGAGGAAACGUUACUUACGGAAAAUUCAGUAAGAGGAAUUCUGAACUUUGUCAUGGAUGGUAAACAUCCAUUCGGUCAAGGCUUGAUCACCUACGCAAACGAAGAAGUCGUCAACUGGAUAACAACUUUAGCCGACAGUUUUCGCGUGACGGACGAUAUGGGAAAACUAAAAUUGCAGUUCUUGAUGUUCCACAAGCCUUACUUCAGUUGGAAAGGCUCUUACGUCGUCACUCAGCUGGCUGCAGAAAAAGACGUCUCUUUCGACAACGGCCUGGACGGUUCCAUAGCUGAAGACUGCUUCUUCGCCAUGCGCGCCUACAGCAAAGGCUACACCUUCAACUACAUCGAAGGAGAGAUGUGGGAGAAAUCGCCCUUCACCUUCUGGGACUUUAUCCAGCAAAGAAAACGCUGGCUCCAAGGCAUCUCCCUCGUCGUCCAUUCCAAAGCCAUUCCCGUCAAGAACAAGCUGCUCCUCGCGUGUUCCUGCUACUCGUGGCUGACUCUACCCUUGUCGGUAUCUAACUUAAUCAUAGCCGCCAAGUAUCCCAUACCUUGUCCUCCGUUCAUCGAUUUCAUCUGCGCGUUCAUCGGUGCUGUCAACAUCUACAUGUUCAUCUUCGGCGUCAUUAAAUCCUUCACGAUAUACAGAUUUGGGUUGUUUAAACUCACCCUGUGCAUCGUCGGUGCCGUCAUUGUCAUACCCUUUAACUUAGUUAUCGAAAACAUAGCAGUGUUGUGGGGCAUUUUCGGAAAGAAACACAAAUUCUACGUGGUGAAUAAAACCAACGGCCCCUCGCUUACCAGUACCGUGUAACUGGUCGAAUUGUUAAGAAGAAGAAGAAAGCGUAGAGGAGUCACGACUACCCAGUGGUAUUUUGUUAACCUGGCAACCAGGUCAAAUGUUUUGUUGUUUUAAUUUUUUUAUAUUUUGUUAAAAAUAGAAAACAUACGAAUCCAAUCAAUGCCGUGCUUAUGAGAUGAACUCUUAAGAAUGAGAGUACCUUUCUGAAGGGCUCGGAAGACUACGACAGUCCAGAGAUCUGCCAUAUUUUAAUAGAAAAAAAAAUGAUCAUCAUCAUCCAUUAUUUAUUUCUCCGAUAAAUCCUUAAAAAAACAUUACGCCAGUGUAGCAGUAGCGUUUAUUGAUGACAUUUGUCACACUAGAAUCCACCAAUCCGUCACAAAAUUGUAUACGUCUUAAAAAUUACAUACAAGUCACCCCUUCCACCUCAAAAAGUGCCUGUUUGCGCAUGACUUUGGUCUUGUCACUUGUCAAGUUGGACAGCUUAUUUAGAAGCUUUCAGUUAACUUUGUCAAUUUCGACAAUUUUACAAUCUCUUUAGAAGUGAAAUUACAAUGAAUGAGAGUAUUGCAGUUCAUUGGAAUAGUUACUUAACAUUUUCCAGAACACUUUUACCAGAUUUAUCAAUUUCUUUUAAUUAUAACAAAUUAAUAUAUAUUUGAGAAUUGUAAAAUAUUGAAAAAUCACAAGGAAAAUAAACUUCCUGUAGCUGGCUGUAUACCAUAAAUCACUAAAAUACUAAUUUGUUGUAAAAGGUAUAUUUUAAAAUACCCUAAAAAAGGGUCACAAGACAAAACGUUUUCGGAUUAAGAAAUCCAUCAUCAGUGUUCUAAAAGCCAAAAAAUAACAUGCCUGAGCCUAAAAAAUGUGUUGGGUAAAAACCCUUUAAAUGUAAAAUAUUAUAUUAUGUUACAUAUUUAUAUAAAAUGUUGAUGAUGUUCUAGACAUGCCUGGAUGUUACCCAGGGCAACACAGGACUCUUCCCACGUGGUUGGAAUUUUUUUGGAGAAAACCUCACAUAUUCUCAACUAGAAACUAACUCAACUAGUUGGCCAUUGAUAUCCAAUAUGUGAGGGUUUCUCCAAAAAAAUUCCAACCACGUCGGAAGAGUCCUGUGUUGCCCUGGGUAACAUCCAGGCAUAUCUAGAACAUCAUUUAAAUUUUAUAUAAAUAUGUAACAUAACAUAAUCGUUUACAUUUAAAGGGUUUUUACCCAACACAUUUUGGUGGCUCAGGCAUGCUAUUUUUUGGCUUUUAGAACACUGAUGAUGGAUUUCUUAAUCCGAAAAGGUUUUGUCUUGUGACCCUUUUUUAGGGUAUUUUAAAAUAUACCUUUAAUCUAGUAUUUUUGUAAAAUAUUGGUUAUUUGACAUUUAUUUUUCCUUAUGUUUAUUAUUUAUAUUUAUUGUUCAUAACUGAAUUGUACACUGCCCUGUAUCAGCUUUAUUCUUUUCUUUUUAUAUGUAAAAAUUCUUAAUAACUCAUCAUAUUUUCCGUUAAGUUUUUGACGAAUUUGAAAUGUGGCAACAGCGCAAUAAUUUAUAAUUCGGCGCUUUGGUGAAAUUUGUGAAGAUCAUGACCUAGUUACUGUAGUUCUAAUUUGAUUGUUCACUAGAGCCACAUUGUUUUUGAUAGUGACUAAUCUUUGCAGUAUUCACAUGUGACUCUUCCUGUAACUGACCAUUUCCUAGGUCCUAGAGAAACACCUACGUUUUCUAUUUGUGAGUACAAACUGCCGGGAAAAGGGCUCUUAGCGUAUAUUUCGUUGACAAUUUAGAUAUAGGUAAACAGUCUGACAGUUCGCAUUAUCAGAUACAUAUCUGUUGUUCGUAGUAGAUACGCAGGAUGUACAUAUAAGUUCAUUUUAAUGACUAAAGAGCAAACCUAGGAACAUUUUGAUAGUUUUUCAUGGGACCAUAUAAAAAUGGCAUCCAACAUGUGUAUAAAGUGUUUUCUUCGUGCUUGUCUCCUUGUUCAUUUUUUAACUGCGUAAAUUUUACAAUCUCCUCACUUAGUACUUUAUCGACGUAUAUAUCCGUUUAUAUACGUCUACUGAUUCCGAAAUGAGUGUAUGAGCCCAGUAUACAAAAAAGAACAAAUUCACGUUUUUUCCCAGUCAAUAUUAAUUGCAUAGAAAUCCGGAUAUAUCCGUCCUCACUUCUACUGGAAACAAGUGUAUAGGAUUUGACAUGAUUGUGUAAGGUUCAUUUUUUAACUGUGUAAAUUUUACGAUCUCCUCACUUAUUACUUUGUCGACGUAUAUAUCCGUUUAUAUACGUCUACUGAUUCCGAAAUGAGUGUACGAGCCCGGUAUACAUAAAAGAACAAAUUCACGUUUUCUCCCAGUCAAUAUUAAUUGCAUAGAAAUCAGGAUAUAUCCGUCCUCACUUCUACUGGAGACAAGUGUAUAGGAUUUGACAUGGUUGUGUAAGGUCAGCAUGAAGUAGUACGUUAUUUUUCCAUUCAGUGUAAGUUUAAUACAAGUGUGAUAAAGGUUACAAUAAUCUACUUUAAUGUUAGAACUUUGUAUGGAUAUAUCAGUCAUCAAAUUUAGUGGAAACAAAGGAUCUGAUAUCCACUGACAAAAAGUUAUGAUAUCAUUAAAUUUAACAAUUGUACUUAUGUUAUCGAUGUAAAAUAUUCAAACAUAAAGAGUGCAUUAAACAAGUUGAUGACGUAUAAAUCCGGAAAACUCUAAUUUCUCUAUGAAUCAGUGGAGUUUCAAUCGAGAUCAGUAUUCGUUAUGAAAUUGUAACGUUACAAACGUCACAUCUUUGCUAUUUUAUUUUUAAAUAAUUAUUUUAUUCUAUCUUCUUUAUUAAUUCUUUAAUAAUAAUCUUCUAUUUGUUUUACCUUUUUUCCCGUUAAAAAUUGGUUGGUUGAAAUAUAAAUUUUGAAUGGUAUUUCAAAUAGCUGGAGUAACUCAUCGCCUUUUUUUAAAGAAGAUAGAAUAAAAUAAUUAUUUAAAAAUAAAAUAGCAAAUAUGUGACGUUUGUAACGUUACAUACUCCUACCACCCACCAGAAAAAUUUUGAACACAAGUGAGAAAUUUUUCUCAAAGAAAACAGGAACGUUACAAAAUUAGUAAGAUUUAACUAUACAAUUUUAAAAUAUGUAUGUUACAAUAAUCUGCUUUAAUGUUAGAACUUUUUAUGGAUACAUCAGUCAUCAAAUUUAGUGGAAACAAAGGAUCUGAUAUCCGCCGACAAAAAGUUAUGAUAUCAUUUAAACAAUUAUUGUACUUAUGUUAUCGAUGUAAAAUAUUCAAACAUAAAGAGUGCAUUAAACAAGUUGAUGACGUAUAAAUCCGGCAAACUCUAUUCUCUAUGAAUCAGUGGAGUUUCAUCUAGAUCAGUAUUCGUUAUGAAAUGAGUAAGAUUUAACUAUACAAUUUUAAAAUAUGUAUGUGUCCCGCUAUUUAUAACUAUUUAGAAAAUGAUUUCUUAUUGUAAUCAAUGUUUAUGUUGGCCGUAUAAUAAAGAUAACACAAACAAAUGUUUGUUGUGUAUUUGGCGCAAUUCAAGCGUUAUUUUGUUUUUUACAGCAAUUCAUUAUAUUGUCAUACACAAUAUAACACUUUUCAACUAUGACAAUUCUUUGUCAUCUAACAUGUCAAUUGUCUCAAGCCAGGAUGACAUCUCAUGUCAUUUAUUGUCAUUUGUCAUUUAUUUGGUGCCACGGUUUCCAUGUCUCUUCUGUAAAGUUUUUCUCUAUAUUGUACAUGUGACAUGUGGUGUGUCUCCUGUAGAUACAAUCAGUUAUAGGAUCAUUCAAUUGCUCAUAUAGUUUCUUGUGAUUUUUCUGGUGGUCGGUUCUGUUACAAAAUUGGAAGAAUGAAUUAUAAAACUCAAGCCCCACGUUGGGCUCCCAAGUACAUCCUGCGAAUCUCCUGCACAGUUAAAAUUGAAGUUUUUUGGGUAAAGAUACAAGAAUCAAAAUUAUUUUUUUAAACGCCCAGAAAUUUUGAAUUUCUUGGUCAUAUGUCAUUUGUACAAUCUCAUAUGCUCAAUACUUAGUAGUAUUAAUAACUUAACCAAAGAAUAAAACUUAUUUAACAAUUCAGUGACGUAUUAAUGAUAGCUUGAGUAUGCUUGGGCCUGGUUUAUACCAAAGUCGAGAAAUCAAUGGUGUUAAGUUCUGGAUGGCUAGAUGGUGGUUUCUUAACCUGGACUUUUAAAUUUUUAGUUUCUUUAAGCAGGAGUGUUAUAGUCUGACUGUUUUGUUGCUUUAGAAGAUAUAGCAGAGAUGCUAUGUAAUGCUAGUACAAGUAUUGAUAAUUUUAUUAUCAAUAUUGUUGUAAUUUGACCGGAUUUUCUGACGUUUUGGUCGAUAUCUUAAUGCUACUACAUGAGGCUAGGAACUUUUUCUUAAGGAAUAUAUACUCCGUUUACCUUUAACGAAUUAAAAGGCCAGAAAAAGCCAUUAGCAUCAACAGAGCUCGCUUAAAGACAUCAUAUUUGGAGAUAAACCAAGCCCGAUCGAAAAAUUUUGUUGUUGUUUUUGUUUAUUGUUAAUUUUUGUUUAAACUCGUCGUUUAUGCUUCUCCAAACUUCCAAGAACUCUUUCGAAAUGCUUAUAAUGCCAAAAUUUUACCUUUAAUGUACAUACAUUAAGUAGGAAAUACCAAGAUGAUUAUAUUGAAUAUAACGGAGCUUUUAUUGUACAUAAACUUUCUCACCUAGAUCAAUUUUUACUAUAAGUGCACAGAGUGUCCGCGAAAGCUCUGUUCCAGCUGUACAUAUGAUUUAAAGAUUAAUGCAUAGGUACGAGUAUAGACAUUAAAGACGUUUUGUGGCUGUUUUUUUUUUGUUUAAUUGAGAUUAACUAGAUGCCUCAUGUUUUCUUCAGAGCUCGUAAUUCGGAGAUUUGUCAAAAAGUGGCGGUAUCAAUGUUUGGUAUAAACGUUUAAGAAAUUCAAUUAGCCGCUUUAAAGAAAAGCACUUGCCGGUAUUUUAACAUCACAUUAAUCAUUGUAAAUGAGUCAUUUGAGAACUUAUACUACAUUUAAAUAGUUACAAUUAUUAGACGAUAAAUAUUAAGCAAGAGAAAUUAAACUUUUUUUCUGCUUUUAAGAACAAAAACAGCACAUUCAUUAGAGGAACCGAAUUCAAAAUUUUUUGCACAUCACAUUUGAAAAAUUGUUGGUAAAGAAAUAUAUUAAUUUGUCUUGACUAAAUUACUAUCCUGUUGAUACCGAGAAGACUCGGUAUCCUGUUGUUAUUUUCGGUUUAAAUUUUCUAGCCAAAUUCUGAGUCCACUAUAGUAUGUAUAUUCGCUUGUAAAAAAUGUAGCUUGUCAAUACAAAAACGCGUCAUCAACUCUCAAGUGGCGCUGAAGAGGAAUCUACUUGUUACAAAAUCACGAAUGCUGUAACUGAUUAUACACAAAAGCGUAACAAAAGUAACAAGUAGGUACUCACAAGUAACGACAAUCAGCACCUAUUUUCACGUGUUCUGUGCAUGUACGUGUUUACAAGCUACAUUUCUUUCCCAGUGAAUAUACUAUACAAUGAUGAGUACGCUAAUAACCGGCAAAAUAACGCAAAAGACGGAAAACAUAAUACAUUGUGAAAUAAAAAGAGAUGAAACUAGUAGAGGUGGGAAAUUAUCAACAGAAACCUAUAAUUAAACUUAUAAUUAACAACAUUAAUUAUAAUUUUACAUUAUAUUAAUAGUUUCCCACCUUUAGACGUGUGGCGACACGCUUUAAUUACAAUUUUUGCUAAUUUUAAUUUUUAAAAACUUUUCUCAAAACGAAAUAAUACGGGUCAUAAAAAUUCACAUUUAAUAUACAAACCAGACGCUAAGAAGGGCACGGUUUUACGAAACGAAAUGUAUCCCUAACCAUAUGUUUUUGGUGUGUUCAGUUUAACAAACUGAAUUCCCCAUAAAUUAAUUACCUUAUCAGACCUUAUGUCAAUAACUCACUUUGGAAAUGCAUUCGAAGACGUUUCUUAAAACUGCAGAAAUGUUUCAACUUUUAAACGCCAGAUCUAAAUAAUUUAUCGCCUUUCUGGCCAGAUGGUAGAAACACAAACAUAUUAGCGUUUGUGGUUUUUUCAGCCCCGGCAGUCGAUUUACAACCGCCCGUCGGGAGUCACACCCCAGCGGGCGUCGGGAUAGGUCAACAACACACUCUUACGAGAUAUAAGCAAAAUACGUCUUUUUACCGAUUAAAAUAAAUAUAUUAUUGAAAGUUUGUUGUGUUUACAUUUAUUUUAAUUUUAGUUAAUCGUUCCCAAACCAUUCGGAACAGACGUAUCGGAGGAGUUUGGCAGCUGCCACUGUGACAGGAUAAUUUUAUGAAUUUUUCCUGUGACAGUUUGACUCCGAUACGUCUAAAAGUGGGAACCUAUCAACACACUGUAAAUUUUAUAGGUUUAUAUUGAUAAUUUCCCACCUCUACUACUUUAAUCUCCUAUUUCACAGCUUAUUAUGUUUUCCGUUAUCACUCAGUUACUAAAAGAUGCCCCUCUAUUAGAGUCCACUAAGCAUAAAAAUCAGUAAAAAAGUAUAGAAAAGCAGUAGUUGAUUAAAAAAGCUGUAGAAACGAUAAAAAUUGUUUUUUUUUAUAUCUCCAGCAGCUUUGUAAGAAAACAUGAAACAUCUGUAACUUAAUUUAUAGAUCUCAUUACCUUAAUAGACUAUUUUUGUUAAAAGACAUAGCUACUUUAAGCCACCACGAAUUCGAAUCGGUUAGCUUUGAAUUGAAAAAAAAACGAGCAGCUUAAACUUUUUGGUACUAGGCCGUUCUGGCACAUGUCAAAAGCUAACUGAUGAGAAUAUCAUCCGGAACACAUUUGUAAUAGAAUCUAAGCAUAUUUGUAACGUACUUAUACUUUUUCUUCUCCAGAAAGUAAAUAAUUUUGAGAUGCAUUUA